rnacentral:rRNA from 1 species
AUUGAACGCUGGCGGCAGGCCUAACACAUGCAAGUCGAGCGGAUGAAGGGAGCUUGCUCCUGGAUUCAGCGGCGGACGGGUGAGUAAUGCCUAGGAAUCUGCCUGGUAGUGGGGGAUAACGUCCGGAAACGGGCGCUAAUACCGCAUACGUCCUGAGGGAGAAAGUGGGGGAUCUUCGGACCUCACGCUAUCAGAUGAGCCUAGGUCGGAUUAGCUAGUUGGUGGGGUAAAGGCCUACCAAGGCGACGAUCCGUAACUGGUCUGAGAGGAUGAUCAGUCACACUGGAACUGAGACACGGUCCAGACUCCUACGGAAGGCAGCAGUGGGGAAUAUUGGACAAUGGGCGAAAGCCUGAUCCAGCCAUGCCGCGUGUGUGAAGAAGGUCUUCGGAUUGUAAAGCACUUUAAGUUGGGAGGAAGGGCAGUAAGUUAAUACCUUGCUGUUUUGACGUUACCAACAGAAUAAGCACCGGCUAACUUCGU